rnacentral:rRNA from 1 species
AACGAACGCUGGCGGCAUGCCUAACACAUGCAAGUCGAACGAGACCUUCGGGUCUAGUGGCGCACGGGUGCGUAACGCGUGGGAACCUGCCCUUAGGUUCGGAAUAACUCCCCGAAAGGGGUGCUAAUACCGGAUAAUGUCUUCGGACCAAAGAUUUAUCGCCUUUGGGUGGGCCCGCGUUGGAUUAGCUAGUUGGUAGGGUAAAAGCCUACCAAGGCGACGAUCCAUAGCUGGUCUGAGAGGAUGAUCAGCCACACUGGGGCUGAGACACGGCCCAGACUCCUACGGGAGGCAGCAGUGGGGAAUAUUGGAAAAUGGGCGGAAGACUGAUCCAGCUAUGCCGCGUGAGUGAUGAAGGCCUUAGGGUUGUAAAGCUCUUUUACCCGGGAUGAUAAUGACAGUACCGGGCGAAUAAGCUCCGGCUAACUCCGUG